UUAAAUUUAUACUGUUUGAGUGCCGCUGAACUCGUUCAGACUCAGCGGAGAAUAGGAAAUCCGGUGAAAAUCCGGAACGGUACCGCCACUGUAUUUGCGGAGGCUCCACACGGGGCGAAAGCCGGUCAUUGGGAGGGAUCCUGAGAAGGCUGUGUGUUAGCUGAGGAGGCAUAAGUCAGGAGACCUGCUCAAUGUGAGUGCUGCCGU
rnacentral:ncRNA from 19 species